rnacentral:miRNA from 1 species
ACCGUGUUGCUACAGCUAUAA